rnacentral:rRNA from 1 species
AUUGAACGCUGGCGGCAGGCUUAACACAUGCAAGUCGAGCGAGCGGCGGACGGGUGAGUAAUGUCUGGGAAACUGACUGAUGGAGGGGGAUAACUACUGGAAACGGUAGCUAAUACCGCAUACCAUCAGAUGUGCCCAGAUGGGAUUAGCUAGUAGGUGGGGUAAUGGCCCACCGAGGCGACGAUCCCUAGCUGGUCUGAGAGGAUGACCAGCCACACUGGAACUGAGACCCGGUCCAGAUUCCUCGGGGAGGCAGCAGGGGGGAAGAUUGCACAAUGGGCGCAAGCCUGAUGCAGCCAGGCCGCGUGUGUGAAGAAGGCCUUCGGGUUUGAAAGCACUUUCAGCGAGGAGGCGGGACUCGCAGAAGAAGCACCGGCUAACUCCGUGCCAGCAGCCGCGGUAAUA